rnacentral:rRNA from 1 species
CAGUUCGGAUUGUAGUCUGCAACCCGACUACAUGAAGCUGGAAUCGCUAGUAAAUCGCGGAUCAGAAUGCCGCGGUGAAUACGUUCCCGGGUCUUGUACACACCGCCCGUCACACCAUGGGAGUCGGAAAUGCCCGAAGUCUGUGACCCAACCUUAGGGAGGGAGCAGCCGAAGGCAGGUCGGAUGACUGGGGUGAAGUCGUAACAAGGUAGC